ACGUGGGUUUUUUAAUUGCAUGAUUAUGCAACCAUACGGGAACCUUACAUAAGCGCAGGUCGUAAAACAAUGAAUUCAAGAACCAAAACGGUGCUACUGAUUGAAAUGAUUGAACAAACUGGGUAUGCUAAUCUUGCAAGUAAAAUAUGCACUAAGAAUGAGAAGCUUCAGAGAAUUCCGGUUUUUUCAAUUCCAUCUAUCUUAACUUUCAAUUAAAUUACUUGAAGAAAGAAUAUCUGUUUAGGAGAAAACGACGCUGAAAGUCUGUUAAAAGAUGAGUCUGACAUGUGUGAUAUUUAGAUAAUAUAAAAAGAGAGAUCUGAUAUGAAUAAUAUAGAAAUAGUAAAAUAUGGUAUACAGAAAAAAAAACCAAAUAUUAUGUAUAUAUAAAGAAAAAAAUAACCUGCGAAUAUUGAGAAGUA
rnacentral:sRNA from 20 species